UUGUGACAAUCAUAACCAUACUUUUAUUAUCAAUUUUCUGGUACAAAUCUGAAUAGAACUCUGAGCCGUUUACUUGGUGAUCUCAAUUUUGUCGAAAAUCAAAAUCAUUGUUCUCUGUAAACAAUUCACAUAAUGUAAUCCUUUAUAAUCUCAUCCAAGUCUCAUCCAAUUAGUGCACAUUUUAGACACAUCAGACCCAUACCAGGUUCUCUGGAUUGCAGGAGCUAAAAACUACCACUAAUAGUUCUUAGAGUAACUAUAGUACAGUAAAUAAAUCAUUAAAACUUAGAUUUUACUAUCCCGUCCUUCAUCCUUUUCAUUCUACCUGUAUUAAUUUCAUUUCGAUAAUAAAAUAGUCCCUUAAGAGAAAUAUCAAUAAAUCAUAUUCAAUUGAGUUACUUCUUUUCACAAACAAACAGAUGACUUCUUUUACUUUAGAUUUGAUCAGUCAUGACGAUGGUCAGAUCAAAAGAGGUAAAUAGCUAGUACAUAAUAGAUGGCGGGGGUCGUGCAAGAACAUAUGUAAUUAGUAUUAAUAAAUCAUUGAAAAUAUGCAGUUGAUUAGAUAUAAAAUAUGGUAGCCAUCUGCUCCAAAUAUACUAGUUUUUGUGAUGAUUUUUCAAAAAUUCCCAAAAAAUGCUUAUUUUUUAUUCAAUAAACCAAAAAACACCCAAAACCCAAAACUUGCUUGAAUUUAGCAUAUUUUGGAUCAAAUCUAUCACAAAACAAUUGUGAUGCUCCAAUCUACACUUUUCCAUGAUAGAUUGCCAUGUUAUUGCCGAAACAUGAAGAAUGAAGGCCCAAUUCCUGGAGAAGAUUUUUAAGGACUUUGUGGUGGCAUUUCCACCAUUUUAGACUCCAAAUUUUGUCAUUUUAAGGUUGGACAUAACACAAAAGUAAUUAUCCACUCAUCAAUUUUCCACUUGCCUAAUAAUCCAACCAUAUUUGGUUCCCCUCUAUUAAAAUCCUUAAGGCCUCAUUUGCCAAACUAUUUUGACCAUUUUGUAAGGGCGUUAUUACUUCAUUUUGCUUAGUUUUCUUCUUAUGAAUCAUAAUCAAUAAACUAGAAAGAGAAAACGCAACCCUAAGAUUAACUAUAAUUAACUAAUUUGGUCAACCUUAAGUCUCUACCACAAAACCCUAACCCUAAGCUUGGCAAUUUUACCAAAACAAUCUUAAGCAACUCAAACAACGAUAAAUCAACCCACACUCCGGUUGCAUAUAAACUGGGUUGGUCUAAUGGGGUUGUCUACCACUCUCAGGAGUGUACAAACCCUAUUCAUGGAUUUAAUUGCUUCAUCUUGUACUUGCUUGACUGAACUGUUCGACUAUUCAUAGAGGUAAUUGCUUCAUCUUGUAUUAUACCUCACUACCAACUUUUACUAAUAACUCAGUUUAUAUAAGGAUGCAAUCUUAUAAUGUAGAACUACGUAUGCACCUCAAAAAUUCAUUGGAAAAGGUAGUUUUAAA
rnacentral:lncRNA from 1 species